UACGGAGGGUGCGAGCGUUGUCCGGAAUCAUUGGGCGUAAAGGGCGCGUAGGUGGCCCGGUCAGUCCGUGGUGAAAGCGCGGGGCUCAACCCUGCGUCGGCCAUGGAUACUGCCGCGGCUGGAGCACUGUAGAGGCAGGCGGAAUUCCGGGUGUAGCGGUGGAAUGCGUAGAGAUCCGGAAGAACACCGGUGGCGAAGGCGGGUCUCUGGGCAACAACUGACGCUGAGGAGCGAAAGCGUGGGGAGCGAACAGG
rnacentral:rRNA from 1 species